GUCUAUGGUCAUGCUACCCUGAACAAGUCCAAUCUCGUCUGAUCUCGGAAGCUAAGGAGGGUUGGGCCUGGUUAGUAUUUGGAUGGGAGACCACCUAGGAAGACCAGGUGCUGUAUGUG
rnacentral:rRNA from 1 species